AAAGGGUCCGUAGGCGGACUCGUAAGUCAGUGGUGAAAUCUCAUAGCUUAACUAUGAAACUGCCAUUGAUACUGCGGGUCUUGAGUAAAGUAGAAGUGGCUGGAAUAAGUAGUGUAGCGGUGAAAUGCAUAGAUAUUACUUAGAACACCAAUUGCGAAGGCAGGUCACUAUGUUUUAACUGACGCUGAUGGACGAAAGCGUGGGGAGCGAACAGGAUUAGAUACCCUAGU
rnacentral:rRNA from 1 species